GCUCACUGACUUCUGCUGCUCAGGAAAUACCCCCAAACCCACCUGUGUACGCUCACCCCACCCCUCACCCUCCCACCCCAAGGCUCUGGGUUGAUGCUUGCACAUUCCUGCACAAGGACCACCAGCAGGAGAGGGAUUUGCUGCAGGCUGUGGCAGCCUGUCAGAACAGAGGGUCUGAAAAGGAAUUGUUGUGGAACGGAGCGCGUGCCGAUAACAGCCACCCAUCCGAGCUGGAUGGCAGCUGACUGCUCUUGGAUCCGUCGUGCACACAUCUGUGGCUGAGAUCCUCCUUUCCAAGCUGCUGCUCCUCAGAGCACUUCACAGAGGAACCCACACCACCGGAGGGGACUGCAGUGGCUCACAGCCUGACCCGACCCCAAAGGGCAGCGAUGCAGAUGGCAAUGGGAAAAUCAGGUCAGCGUGCUGAAGGUCAGAGGGAUCUCCUCCAAACCAUCUCUUGCUGCUUUUGGAUGCUAAGAGGAACCAACUCUGCAUUGAAGCACAAGGCAGGACCAAGGUCCUUAAUAUCUCCCUUCCCUCCUUUGCUGCACAGCACAGAUCCCCCUUCCAACACAUGCACGAGAGCAGAGCCGAACCGUUCGCACAGAAAACAGGUUGCCCUGAGAUGCUCUGAAGGAUCAGAAACUCUUUCACCGCUCAGGCUUUGGGUUCUUUCUCUAACCUUCCCAGCCAGGAUCUGGCUCUGUCUCCUCCAUCACCAGCACUGCCCAUCCAUCUGCAAGGGGCUGGAAGCAUUGGGAAACUGAAGCUUGGAAAGAAGCAGAGGAGCAGACGAAGGACUGAAUCCUGAGGAUGCAAAGUGCUUUGCGUAUCCCAUGCAGCCAGACAGCCUCUGGUCCAGCAAAGCAAUGGAAUUUCUUGCAAAUAUGCAUUUUUCAGAUCUAUCCCCUACAAGCCAGUCCUGAUGUCUAGAACAAGGAGGACACAGCUGUGCCUGCAUCUCCCACCCUACUGGCAUCCAUUGGCUGCAUCCAUCCAUCUCCCUGCGCUUUAUCAACAUCUCCAGCCUCCGUGCCACGAGGGAAAUGUCAUCGGGUUUUUAUCUCCUCUCUGCUCUGGGCUUAUCAGUGAUUUGUUUAAUUCGAGUUUAUGGCUUUCCUUGUUCAUUUUGUCACUCGGUUUCCUCAAUCCCGACGGCUGCCGAAAGGAGACAAUGAAAUUUCAGAUAAAUAUAUAAAUAAAGGCAAAUAAUUA
rnacentral:lncRNA from 1 species